rnacentral:lncRNA from 1 species
UCGUUUUAAUUUUGGACAAAUUUGACGCGUGUGAAGGCCGAUUAUAGGGGCAAAGGCAUCACGAGCUAGAGAUUUUGCUAGUUCGAGGUGAGUAAUGAUUGUAAAUGAUAUCCUGAGGGUUUGAAACCCCGGAUGUGCAUGUGCUAUAUUGAGGUGAGACACAUACCUGAUGAUGAGCGUGGGAUUGUUUACUAUUGGGUAUUGUGACUUGGCAUAUCCCGAUUGAUGCUUUUACCGCGUAUUUGAUUGAAACUUAUGUGCUAUCAUCAUUAUUUAGGUUGAUAGCCUUGAAUGGACUUCGUGCCAACUAUUUGAACCUUUCGUGGAUUUUUAUCACUGUUUGACUUACUAUUUGA